rnacentral:rRNA from 1 species
UACGGAGGGUGCAAGCGUUAUCCGGAUUCACUGGGUUUAAAGGGUGCGUAGGUGGAGUGGUAAGUCAGUGGUGAAAUCUCCAAGCUUAACUUGGAACUGCCGUUGAUACUAUCAUUCUUCGAAUAUCGUGGAGGUAAGCGGAAAUAUGUCAUGUAGCGGUGAAAUGCUUAGAUAUGACAUAGAACACCGAUUGCGAAGGCAGCUGGCUACACAUAUAUUGACACUGAGGCACGAAAGCGUGGGGAUCAAACAGG